rnacentral:rRNA from 1 species
UACGUAGGCAGCAAGCGUUGUUCGGAAUUACUGGGCGUAAAGAGUGUGUAGGUGGUGUCGUAAGUUGGUGUGAAAUCUCCCGGCUUAACUGGGAGGGUGCGCCGAAGACUGCGAUGCUGGAGUAUGGGAGAGGAAAGCGGAAUUCCUGGUGUAGCGGUGAAAUGCGUAGAUAUCUGGAGGAACACCGGUGGCGAAGGCGGCAUCCUGGACCGACACUGACGCUGAGGAGCGAAAGCCAGGGGAGCAAACGGG